AGAGACAUGUAAUGUCCAUGUUUGCUGCUGAAAGAGACUGAUGGUCUGACCCCCCUCCUCCUUUCAGGGUGGAGCCUGCUGGAGGCCCAUUCUUGACACCAGGUCUGAGGAAGUAUUCCUGUCAACUCACCAUCGACACAAACACAGUGAGCAGAAAACUCAAACUGUCUGAAGACAACAGGAAGGUGACAUUUGUGGAGGAGCUUCAGUCAUAUCCUGAUCAUCCAGACAGAUUUGAUUACUGGGAUCAGCUGCUGUGUAGAACUGGUCUGACUGGUCGCUGUUACUGGGAGGUCGAGUGGAGAGGAGAUGUUGAGAUAUCAGUGAGUUACAGAAGAAUCA